AGGACAAACGCUGGCGGCGUGCAUAAAACAUGCAAGUCGAACGGACUUCAGUCCGCAAGGACUGAAGUGAGUGGCGAACGGCUGAGUAACACGUAGGUGACCUGCCCCGAAGUUUGGGAUAACACCUCGAAAGAGGUGCUAAUACCGGAUGUGACCACCGAUUCAUUUCGGUGCUUAAAGUCGCAAGACGCUUUGGGAGGGGCCUGCGGCGGAUUAGCUAGUUGGUGUGGUAACGGCACACCAAGGCUUCGAUCCGUAGC
rnacentral:rRNA from 1 species